GACGUAGGGGGCGAGCGUUGUCCGGAUUCAUUGGGCGUAAAGAGCGUGUAGGCGGCUUGGUAGGUCUGCUGUGAAAACUCGGGGCUCAACCCCGAGACGUCGGUGGAAACCACCUGGCUAGAGUCCGGAAGAGGAGAGUGGAAUUCCUGGUGUAGCGGUGAAAUGCGCAGAUAUCAGGAAGAAUAUCCGUGGCGAAGGCGGCUCUCUGGGACGGUACUGACGCUGAGACGCGAAAGCGUGGGGAGCGAACAGG
rnacentral:rRNA from 1 species